GAUAAUCUUAUAAACAUAUAUGUAUAAAGAGGCAAGUUUCACUUUUUUAAAACUUUAAGUGACAAAACUUCAUUCAAUCAGAAAUGCACAAAGGCAUGGCACUUUUUCACAGCACUUUUUCACAGCAGGCCACCACGUGACAGAGGCGGCCUACUGCUACUACUAUUUCUCCUACUAUUACUGCUACUACAACUACUCUUCCUAUGGAAAUCUGCAGUCGAAAAUCAAAAUUCAAUAUCUUAACAUUCAGUGCAUUUUUAACGUUGACUAUGAAGAUUUCUUAACUGCUUUGUUUGAAAUUAAAAAUAUAGAAUAAAACAAUUUGUUUAGGCA